GCCCCUGUCGUUCAACGGAUAGGACGAGGGUUUCCUAAACCCUAAAUUAUAGGUUCGAUUCCUAUCAGGGGCA
rnacentral:tRNA from 1 species